AUUUCCUGAUGUCUAGUUUUCCU
rnacentral:snRNA from 1 species